AUCUGUGACCUGCACCACAGCUCAUGGCAAUGCCGGAUCCUUAACCCACUGAGCAAGGCCAGGAAUCGAACCUGCAUCUUCAUGGAUGCAGUGGGUUAGUUAACCACUGAGCCACGACGGGAAUACUUGGGACUUUUAUCCUUUACUACCACUUUAACAAUUAUUUUCAGUUACAUACACCACGUAUAUCCUUAUUUACUUAAUAGAUUUAUUUCUAAGUUAUUAGUUAUUUAUGAAGCCAACUUUAUGUCAUUAUAGCACAAUUUAAAAAUCUAUACAAGUUGCUCUUAGCGAAAGUAAAUAUAAAAGUUAACAUAAUGAAGUGUUAUGGGAAAUCUUAGGGUUUACCAUGUGCCAGAUUCCUUUGUAACUAGAAUACUUGUUAUUAUGGGUCUACCAUGUUCCAGACACUGGGAAUAAGGUGAAAGACAAAAAAAAAAGGUUUGUGUGUUUGCUGCCCACUGAGGGGAAAAAAACAAAACAGAUACAAAAAUAAGUGAGCACCCCCCC